rnacentral:rRNA from 1 species
AACGAACGCUGGCGGCAGGCCUAACACAUGCAAGUCGAGCGCCCUUUCGGGGGAGCGGCGGACGGGUGAGUAACGCGUGGGAAUAUGCCCUUCUCUACGGAAUAGCCUCGGGAAACUGAGAGUAAUACCGUAUACGCCCUUUGGGGGAAAGAUUUAUCGGGGAAGGAUUAGCCCGCGUUGGAUUAGGUAGUUGGUGGGGUAAUGGCCUACCAAGCCGACGAUCCAUAGCUGGUUUGAGAGGAUGAUCAGCCACACUGGGACUGAGACACGGCCCAGACUCCUACGGGAGGCAGCAGUGGGGAAUCUUAGACAAUGGGGGCAACCCUGAUCUAGCCAUGCCGCGUGAGUGAUGAAGGCCUUAGGGUUGUAAAGCUCUUUCAGCUGGGAAGAUAAUGACGGUACUAGCAGAAGAAGCCCCGGCUAACUCCGUG